AGGUAAAGGCUCACCUAGGCGACGAUCCGUAGCGGGUCUGAGAGGAUGAUCCGCCACACUGGGACUGAGACACGGCCCAGACUCCUACGGGAGGCAGCAGUGGGGAAUUUUGGACAAUGGGCGCAAGCCUGAUCCAGCCAUGCCGCGUGAGUGAAGAAGGCCUUCGGGUUGUAAAGCUCUUUCGGCCGGGAAGAAAUCGUGGUCUCUAACAUAGGCCAUGGAUGACGGUACCGGACUAAGAAGCACCGGCUAACUACGUGCCAGCAGCCGCGGUAAUACGUAGGGUGCGAGCGUUAAUCGGAAUUACUGGGCGUAAAGCGUGCGCAGGCGGUUUUGUAAGACAGAUGUGAAAUCCCCGGGCUUAACCUGGGAACUGCGUUUGUGACUGCAAGGCUAGAGUACGGCAGAGGGGGUGGAAUUCCUGGUGUAGCAGUGAAAUGCGUAGAGAUCAGGAGGAACACCGAUGGCGAAGGCAGCCCCCUGGGCCUGUACUGACGCUCAUGCACGAAAGCGUGG
rnacentral:rRNA from 1 species